CGUGUUUUACACUCAGAUCAUGUAAAAUUUUAAAGGUCGAACAGACCUAAUUAUUUAGCUUCUACACCAAUAAUAAAUUUUAAUCCAACAUCGAGGUCGCAAUCUUUUCUUUCAAUAAGAACUCUAAAAAAAAAUUACGCUGUUAUCCCUAAGGUAAUUUAAUCUUUUAAUCAUUUCAAUGGAUCAAUUAAUCAUAAAUAAAUGUAUAAAUAAAAAAAAAAGUUAAUUUAAUUUUUUAAUCACCCCAACCCAAUUUAAAUUAACUUUAAAAAAAAAAUUAAUUCUAAAAUUAAUAAAAUUAAUUUAAAUAAAACUCUAUAGGGUCUUCUCGUCUUUUAAAAUUAUUUAAGCUUUUUUACUUAAAAAUAAAAUUCUAAAAAAUUAAAAUUGAGACAGUAAUUUUCUCAUCAAACCAUUCAUACAAGCUUUCAAUUAAAAAACUA
rnacentral:rRNA from 1 species